GAAACGGUCCUUUUCAGGACCACUCAUUUAUUCAUACGAGAAAUAU
rfam:Trachymyrmex zeteki contig4686, whole genome shotgun sequence.